UCCAGACUCCUACGGGAGGCAGCAGUGGGGGAUAUUGCACAAUGGGGGAAACCCUGAUGCAGCGACGCCGCGUGAGUGAAGAAGUAUUUCGGUAUGUAAAGCUCUAUCAGCAGGGAAGAAAAAAGACGGUACCUGACUAAGAAGCCCCGGCUAACUACGUGCCAGCAGCCGCGGUAAUACGUAGGGGGCAAGCGUUAUCCGGAUUUACUGGGUGUAAAGGGAGCGUAGACGGCAAUACAAGUCGGAAGUGAAAUACCCGGGCUCAACCUGGGAACUGCUUUGGAAACUGUAUGGCUGGAGUGCUGGAGAGGUAAGCGGAAUUCCUAGUGUAGCGGUGAAAUGCGUAGAUAUUAGGAGGAACACCAGUGGCGAAGGCGGCUUACUGGACAGUAACUGACGUUGAGGCUCGAAAGCGUGGGGAGCAAACAGGAUUAGAUCCCCUUGUA
rnacentral:rRNA from 1 species